rnacentral:rRNA from 1 species
ACGCUAUUAGGUGGAGGACUCGGCUCAUAUUGAUGAAGAAGGGUGUGACAAGCAACAUUAUGCUUCGGCGAACUGCACGUAAGUGUUGAACCGAAGAUACCUGAAUGUGACUUCACUACCAAGACAGUAAUGUCGAGCAACGCAGGGAAUGGAAACGUCUUAGUACCUGCCGGAAAAGAAACCAAUUGAGAUACUGUUAGUAACAGCGAGUGAAAACAGCACAAUGCAAACUGAAUCCUGCCAGUAAUGGUAAGGAGAUGUGGUGUAACAAGACUUUCUUUUAGUCCUAAGGUGCAAACUCAAAGUCUCCUGGAAAGGAGUGCCGCAGAGUGUGAUAGCCACGUAGGGGAAUGCAUCCGGAUGUGAGAGUAUCUUGAGUACUGUAUCUCGGAUAUGAUACAGGAACUUGGGAGGCAUUAACUUCCAACAUUAAAUACAUUAUGAGACCGAUAGCAAACUAAGUACAGCGAUGGAAAGUUGAAAAGAACCCAUAACAGGGAGUUCAAAGAUCCUGAAACCUAAUAGCUAUAGUGAGAUAGGGCUCUUCGGAGUUCUAUCGUACGUUUAGAAUAACGUGCCAGGGAGUAUAUCUGAGUGGCAAGGGUAAUUCGAAAAGAAGUACCCGAAGCGAAAGCAAUUAGCCCGCAAGCAAUGAGGGGCAUGGUAUGAAAGUGCCAUAAGUCACUUGGAUACGACCCGAAACCGGGUGAUCUAACCCAGGGUAAGAUGAAGCAAGGGUAAAACCUUGUGGAGGUCUGAAGAGGUUCUACGUGCAAGUGUUCUUCUAACCUUGGGCUAGGGGUGAAAAGCCAAUCGAACCCGGUGAUAGCUGGUUCCUACCAAAGUUGGCGUAAGUCAAGUCUGGACAGAGAUAGCAGGAAAGGUAAAGAUACUGAUUAGUGAGUUAGGUUCCGAAAGGGAUCGCUCACCUGUCAAACUCUAAAGCUUCCUGCAUCUGAGAAGUCUGGAGACGGGGACGCGAGGUAAACUCACGUUUCGAAAGGGGAACAACCCAGACUAUAGUUAAGGUCCCUAAAUAUCAAUUAAGUGUGAAAGGGUGAAAAGUGUUUAUUGUCAUAGACAGCGAGGAGAUUGGCUCAGAAGCAGCCAUCCUUUAAAAAGUGCGUAACAGCUUACUCGUCAAGACAAUAGGCCUUGAAAGUGGACGGGACUAAAUUGAUUACCGAUACUAUAGACCGCACAGCUGUGCGAGUGAUAGGUAGGCGUUCUGCUAGAGUAGAAGUACCUUUGAGAAUUGGUAUGCAUCUUGCAGAAAUGAGAAUCCUGGUGGUAGUAGGAUCUAAGCAGAGUGAGAAUCUCUGCCACUGAAAGGGCAAGGGUUCCUUGACAAUGUCGAUCAGUCAAGGGUUAGUUGGUCCUAACCAAUCUCAUAACAUGAGAAAAGGGAAAGGGAAAAAGGUUAAUAUUCCUUUACUAUUUUGGUAUGAGUGGCAACACAAGCAUGAUUUCAGACGCUUGCGGUUAGAGCGACAUGAACCAUCGUUCAUGUUAACUAAGAUAAAUCAAUGGAGUAUCGUAAUGAUGAGAAAUUGAUUAAGCUUAGGAAUAGUAUUCUGUACAGAGUAUUUGCUCAAUACCUUGAGUCCAUGAAAAUGGAAUCGUGAAAAAACCAGAAUAUCCAUACCCAGAACCAACACUGGUGCCCCUAGGUGAGAAGCCUAAAGUGUGAUGGAUUAAUCCGUCUUAGGGAAUUCGGCUAAUUGGCCCCGUACCUUCGGUAUAAGGGGUCCCUACUCUAGUGUCCUUAUGGAUGGCCAGAGUAGGGCGCAGUGACUAAGGAGGUCCGACUGUUUAACAAAAACACAACCUUUUGCUAGCCCGUAAGGGUGAGUACAGGAGGUGACGUCUGCCCAGUGCUAGUAAUUCAAACUCCGGUUCAACGGAGCUAAGAUCUAGUAAACGGCGGGGGUAACUAUAACUCUCUUAAGGUGAAUUCGUUGCCUUAAGACCUGAUAGUUAAACAGAUACGUCUAGAAAAGACAGGAUAAAAAUUUGGCUAUAUGCUGGAACCUCUUGAUGAAUUUCUUGUAGGAAAUUGUAGAAGCGAUUUUGCAACAAAAACUGAAAAUCAAGAAAUAAAAGACAAUCAGCAGGAAAGGCUUCUUAUGAAAAAUUAAGAAGAAUCCUCAGAGACUGAAUGCCAGACUAAACUUAGAAGAAAUUUUUGAUUAAACUUUUUCUAAAAAAGUUUAGAAGAUACAGUCCGAACAUAACAGCGAUGUUAUGAGAUCAGCAGAAAUGCCUGAUCCGAUUCUUGAAAUUAUUUAAGUGAGAAUUCGUAACACGUCCGAGCGAAAUACCUUGUCGUUUGAUUGACGACGCGCAUGAAGGGCGUAACGAGAUCUCCACUGUCCCGAGACGGACUCCACUGAAUACACUCCUUCGGUGCAAAGGCCGAAGAUUUCCAGUGGGAAGCGAAGACCCCGUGAAACUUUACUGCAGCCUGUUGCUGUAACGCAAGCUUUAUUGCAAAGCGUAGCUAGGAGUUGCUAAGCUUGGACUUUCGGGUUCAAGAUAGACGACAAUGUCACACUAGCCUAUAGAGCUUACGUUGCUAACCUGUUUACAGGGACAACAAUUGGUGGGCAGUUUGGCUGGGGUGGCACCCUGUCGAAAAGGUAUCGACAGGGCCCAAUGGUUGACUCAACCGGUUUAGAAAUCCGGUGUAGAGUGCAAGAGCAAAAGUCAGCCUGACUGAGAUCACAAUAAUACUGGUCUCAGAAACGAAAGUUGGGUCUAGCGAACCUCUAUGCCUCCUUAAUGGGGGCUAGGGAUGACUGAAAAGUUACUCCGGGGAUAACAGAGUUGUCGCGCCCGAGAGUUCAUACUGUGAAGUGGGAAACU